GUGGGGAAUAUUGGACAAUGGGCGAAAGCCUGAUCCAGCAAUGCCGCGUGAGUGAUGAAGGCCUUAGGGUUGUAAAGCUCUUUUACCCGGGAUGAUAAUGACAGUACCGGGAGAAUAAGCCCCGGCUAACUCCGUGCCAGCAGCCGCGGUAAUACGGAGGGGGCUAGCGUUGUUCGGAAUUACUGGGCGUAAAGCGUACGUAGGCGGCUUUGUAAGUUAGAGGUGAAAGCCCGGGGCUCAACUCCGGAAUUGCCUUUAAGACUGCAUCGCUUGAAUCAUGGAGAGGUUAGUGGAAUUCCGAGUGUAGAGGUGAAAUUCGUAGAUAUUCGGAAGAACACCAGUGGCGAAGGCGACUAACUGGACAUGUAUUGACGCUGAGGUACGAAAGCGUGGGGAGCAAACAGGAUUAGAAACCCCAGUAGUCCC
rnacentral:rRNA from 1 species